GCCGCUUUAGCUCAGGGGUAGAGCAACCGCCUUGUAAGCGGUAGGUCNNGCGAUGCGCUAUUCGAUUCCCAGCCGUUCCA
rnacentral:tRNA from 1 species